CGAUCACCGAAGUUAAGCAUCAUUGGGCGUGGUCAGUACUUUGGUGGGUGACCACCUGGGAACACUGCGUGCCGUU